UUACUUGGAGGUUCGAAUCCUUCCGUCCCAGA
rnacentral:tRNA from 1 species